rnacentral:lncRNA from 1 species
AGAGAGAGAGAGAGAGGGAGAGAGGGAGAGGGAGAGGGAGAGGGAGAGAGAGAGGUCGAUAAAGCAAAAUACAAACAUAGUGGCAUCAUGGUCAUUAUUAUAACAACAAGUAAUUAUCAUACACUUCUCAAAUGAGAGUGAGAAUUCAUUCACGACUUCAAAAGUAUAAACAAUAAUAUUUCUUGAAAGCUAAUAAACUAUAUUCUCAGUCAUCGAAGCACUUACAAUUCAUCAUUUUUACG